rnacentral:rRNA from 1 species
AGGAAUAUUGGUCAAUGGGCGAGAGCCUGAACCAGCCAAGUAGCGUGAAGGAUGACUGCCCUAUGGGUUGUAAACUUCUUUUAUAAAGGAAUAAAGUCGGGUAUGGAUACCCGUUUGCAUGUACUUUAUGAAUAAGGAUCGGCUAACUCCGUGCCAGCAGCCGCGGUAAUACGGAGGAUCCGAGCGUUAUCCGGAUUUAUUGGGUUUAAAGGGAGCGUAGAUGGAUAUUUAAGUCAGUUGUGAAAGUUUGCGGCUCAACCGUAAAAUUGCAGUUGAUACUGGAUAUCUUGAGUGCAGUUGAGGCAGGCGGAAUUCGUGGUGUAGCGGUGAAAUGCUUAGAUAUCACGAAGAACUCCGAUUGCGAAGGCAGCCUGCUAAGCUGCAACUGACAUUGAGGCUCGAAAGUGUGGGUAUCAAACAGGAUUAGAUACCCUGGUAGUCCACACGGUAAACGAUGAAUACUCGCUGUUUGCGAUAUACUGCAAGCGGCCAAGCGAAAGCGUUAAGUAUUCCACCUGGGGAGUACGCCGGCAACGGUGAAACUCAAAGGAAUUGACGGGGGCCCGCACAAGCGGAGGAACAUGUGGUUUAAUUCGAUGAUACGCGAGGAACCUUACCCGGGCUUAAAUUGCAGAUGAAUUACGGUGAAAGCCGUAAGCCGCAAGGCAUCUGUGAAGGUGCUGCAUGGUUGUCGUCAGCUCGUGCCGUGAGGUGUCGGCUUAAGUGCCAUAACGAGCGCAACCCUUGUUGUCAGUUACUAACAGGUUCCGCUGAGGACUCUGACAAGACUGCCAUCGUAAGAUGUGAGGAAGGUGGGGAUGACGUCAAAUCAGCACGGCCCUUACGUCCGGGGCUACACACGUGUUACAAUGGGGGGUACAGAGGGCCGCUACCACGCGAGUGGAUGCCAAUCCCCAAAACCUCUCUCAGUUCGGACUGGAGUCUGCAACCCGACUCCACGAAGCUGGAUUCGCUAGUAAUCGCGCAUCAGCCACGGCGCGGUGAAUACGUUCCCG